rnacentral:rRNA from 1 species
AUUGAACGCUGGCGGCAGGCCUAACACAUGCAAGUCGAACGGUAACAGAAAGCAGCUUGCUGCUUUGCUGACGAGUGGCGGACGGGUGAGUCAUGUCUGGGAAACUGCCUGAUGGAGGGGGAUAACUACUGGAAACGGUAGCUAAUACCGCAUAACGUCGCAAGACCAAAGAGGGGGACCUUCGGGCCUCUUGCCAGCGGAUGCGCCCAGAUGGGAUUCGCUAGUAGGUGGGGUAAAGGCUCACCUAGGCGACGAGCCCUAGCUGGUCUGAGAGGAUGACCAGCCACACUGGAACUGAGACACGGUCCAGACUCCUGCGGGAGGCAGCAGUGGGGUAUAUUGCACAGUGGGCGCAAGCCUGAUGCAGCCAUGCCGCGUGUAUGAAGAAGGCCUUCGGGUUGUAAAGUACUUUCAGCGGGGAGGAAGGGAGUAAAGUUAAUACCUUUGCUCAUUGACGUUACCCGCAGAAGAAGCACCGGCUAACUCCGUG